UCCCUCUUAGCUCAGUUGGUAGAGCGCGUCACUAGUAUCACCAUUCCUGUAUUUCGGUUCAUGACGAGGUCAGUCGUUCAAAUCGGCUAGCGGGAA